UUUCACUUUCUAGAACUUUCCUUUCCAUUCUCAUAUAAACUCACACUCUCCCUCUCUCCUCUGAUCAGCAAACAACACUCGCAAAGCACAAAAUUUUCUUCUCUAAACUCGAAUUCAAACAAAAACUUUAACCCUCAAUUGAAAAUUCAGUACUAAACCUUACUCGAAUGAAUUGAAAAUUCAAUUGCAAGCAACCCACGCAGACCAAAUAAUGGAGGAUUUGGUUGCAGUGAAAGAAGAGAAGGAAACAGUGACAUAUACUGCAGGUGUGUCUUCUUCUUCAUCAUCUUCAAGUUUCCCGCCUCAGCCAAUGGAAGGGUUACACGAGAUUGGUCCGCCUCCAUUUCUGACCAAGACAUUUGAAAUGGUGGAAGACCCAUCAACUGAUACGGUGGUUUCAUGGAGUGGAGCUCGUAAUAGCUUCAUUGUUUGGGACUCUCAUAAGUUCUCCACUAUGCUGCUUCCGAAGUAUUUCAAGCACAGCAACUUCUCCAGCUUCAUUCGCCAGCUCAACACAUAUGGUUUCAGAAAGGUUGAUCCUGACAGAUGGGAAUUUGCAAAUGAAGGGUUUUUAGGAGGGCAGAAGCAUCUACUGAAGACCAUCAAGAGGAGAAGACACGUCUCGCAAAGUAUGCAACAGCAGAGUGCAGGAGCUUGUGUAGAAUUAGGAGAAUUUGGAUUGGAAGGUGAGAUUGAAAGAUUAAAGAGAGAUCGAAAUGUACUAAUGGCAGAAAUAAUGAGGCUUAGGCAGCACCAACAGCAGUCGAGGGAACAAAUUGCUGCCGUGGAGGAUAGGUUACAGAGUACAGAGAAAAAACAGCAGCAAAUAAUGACAUUUCUUGCCAAAGCUCUCAACAAUCCAUCCUUUAUCCAGCAAUUCGCUCAGAUGACCGCACACAAGAAAGAACUACGACGUGUUGGAAUUGGAUGCAAGCGCAGACUUACUGCGAGUACAAGUGUCGAAAAUUUGCAAGAAGCUGGUUCUAUGGAUAUGGGUGUUGGCCAAGUUGCUGAUUACACAGAUCAAGCAUUAGGAACUAUGGAAACUGAGAUAGAAACAUUAUUCUCAGCUGCCUUGGACGAUGAAUCGAGCAGUGACGUGAGGGACCCAACAGCAGGUUCUGCACAAGGGGCAAGUGGUGUGGCUAAUUUGGAUUCUGUUAAUGAGACUAUUUGGGAGGAAUUAUUGAAUGAUGAUGUAAUUACCUGCAAUCCUGAUGAAGAAAUUGUUAUUCUUGAUGAUGAACCGGAAAUCGAUGUAGAAGUUGAAGAUUUGGUUGCCAAUCCUGAAGAUUGGGGUGAGGAAUUGCAAGACCUUGUGGAUCAAAUGGGUUAUUUAAGGUCAAAGACAUGAUUUAACAGAAUGGAUUUGACAUUGUUCUGAGUUGGUCUCUGCAACUCCAUUCCUGUUUUUAUAAUGGGAGUGGUGGAAGUUGCUGUGGGGCCAACAUUUGUUCCUGUUCUUCUGUAUCCUUUACUGAUAAUCUAAUUCUUAAAAAUUCCUUUAUUAUUUUUUUUUCUAACGCAAUUUAUUUCAGUAGUCAAGCAAUUUGGUGGUUCUAUUGAUUCUUCUCUACUGCAUUUUGCAGGCGAACUGGCCAACGAAGAAGAUCUUUAAGGAGUUUCAAUUCUUGAACUUUUAUGACAAGUUGCUGUGUAUACAUGUUCAUUUGCUAAACUCUUCAGAGGCUAUUGUGUAUUCUGUUGCUGUACAUAACUCUACACAGAACAGUUGCUUUGCUAAAAUAUUAAAUAGUCUGCUGAAUUAAUUUUGUAAUGAAAAUUUUUGACAGGAAAAUUAAUAUCAGUGAUCUGUGUAGAUUCGGUUUAUAGUCUAUUCA